rnacentral:lncRNA from 1 species
UUUGUUCUUGAGUUUGUCAUGUCCCCUCGUUGUGCCCAUUGGAAUCAUGGCCACAAAUCUCAUCAGAGCCAAGGUAUGAAGUCCUUAAUUUUUCCUUAAUUUUUUUCUCAAUUUUUCUCCUCCCUAUUGAGUAAUUGACUGUCAGAUUUCAUUAGAAAAUCGACCAAGAUCAACAUCCCCUAUUUUUCUAACCAUCUUUUCCCCUCUUUCUGGCCACUGGUGCCAUCGCCCUUUGAUGUCAAACCCCUG